rnacentral:rRNA from 1 species
UACGACUACAUAUCAGGUAUAUCAAUAAGCGGAGGAAAAGAAACUAACAAGGAUUCCCUUAGUAACGGCGAGUGAAGCGGGAAGAGCUCAAAUUUGAAAUCUUCAAGGUUUUACCUUGACGAAUUGUAGUUUAAAGAAGUGUUUUCUGUUGAAGUUUUGGUAAAAGUUCUUUGGAAUAGGACAUCAUAGAGGGUGAGAAUCCCGUAUUUGACCAUUAUUUUCAGCUGUGUGAUACACUUUCAAAGAGUCGGAUUGUUUGGGAAUGCAGUCCAAAAUGGGUGGUAAAUUUCAUCUAAAGCUAAAUAUUGGCGAGAGACCGAUAGCGAACAAGUACCGUGAGGGAAAGAUGAAAAGAACUUUGAAAAGAGAGUUAAACAGUACGUGAAAUUGUCAAAAGGGAAGCGUUUGACACCAGUGUUGUUUUCUCGAAAAUCAAUUAAAAAAAGUUGGAUUUUGUGUUGUAUUGACCUUAACAGCUUGCUUCACUCUUUUCCAGCUUUUUUUAAUGCACUUUUCAGUUAACAAGUCAACAUCAGUUUCUUUUGUUGUAAAAGGGUGAUAGGAAGGUGGCUUUCUCUUCGGCGCAAGUGUUUAUAGCCUUUGAUCUCUGCAAUCGGAGAGAUUGAGGUCUGCAGCGUAGAUCCUUCGGGGUUAGAUACAUUUGUGCUAAGCUACAGCUUUUCAUAGACAACUUGUUGACUAUGUUUAGUCUUGUGACUUACCCGCUUAUGCUAUUUUACCUACGCUUAGGAUGUUGAGCGCAUGUCUCUCUCU